AACCUUUAAUCAUGCACAAAAUUAUAGAAAAAUCAGCAACUAAAAAAUAAUUAAAAAACAAAUGAACAAAGCAAUGAGGCAGGGGUGUAUGGGCUCCUGUAAGGGUUUGCAAGGAAAGGUAAAGCGCAGACCCAGCUCAAAAGCCCAUUCUGACUUUAAUUAUGGAUAGGGGUGAGAAAUUUACAGGGAAUCAAAGAAACCGCGUGAGGCUUCAUCAUGUCAUCACGUGUUCAACUCCAAAGUCAAACAUCCUGACUUCCCUCGAUGAAGCGCAGGCCUCCUCCGUUGCGUCGGAGGUCACCUUUCGCAGCGGCGGAGGCUUAAUAUCCUAAAAGAUUACAUCACCCUCUUCUCCUUUCCAUCCCGAGUCCAUAAAUCAUCAUGACAAAACCUAAUUUAACAUCUAUCAUGCGAAUCGAAGCUGCGAAUAGAAGAACCUUAGAUCCUCUAACAAAAAUUAAAUGAUGCCUAUUGAGAAUCAGAGCCUUAGAUGUUAGGGCUUUAACUCUUCUCAGAGUGUCAUACAUGGUGGUAACUCACUUGAAUCGAAAUGAUGAAGAUCGAACAAAAACUCACUGGAGCACCAUGCCAAAAAUGUAAGGUAAUCCUUCUGCAACUUCUCGUUCUUCCUUUUCUUUGCUUCUACUUCUUCUAAAACUUCUUCUGCAACUGAAAAACGCAUGCGAUUUGAGAGGUAGAGUAAAAUGAGCUCUGAGAUUCAUAAAUGGAAAUUAAGAUUUGAGAGUGAUUGAGAGUGUUCCAGUGUGAAGAAUCGAGAGACUUCAGAAAAAAAUCAGAGAGUUUUCGAGUGUGGUGAGGAUUUUGAUUGAGGGAAAAAAUUCAAUGAACUCAGAGUGAAGAUUGAGUUUAUAACCUUCUUCCUUCCAAACUCUGUUAGAGAUUUGAAUGAAAUGUGAUCGAAAUUUAUUUACAAUUCCCUUGAAAUUAGGAAAACAGUUAGGGGUUUAUUUGGAUGGAAAACGGAAAUAGUUAUUUGGACGGAAAUAUGAUCUAGUUACCUUCUGUUCUGAGUUAAUCAUUGGUUAUUGGUUCAGUUAAUUUGUUAGAAAACAGUUAGUUAUGAAGUUGCAACUCAGUUAAACUCACGUUCUGUUAACUUGUUGAUGUUGCUUUCCGUUCAAUGCCAUGAAUUUGGUUAGCAGGGUUAGUUUAAAGAGAGGUUAAUUAGUCAUGGCACGAUUUUUGUUAGGUAGUUGCAAUGGUUGAAUGGAUUGUUAGUUUAUGAUGCAGACUGUAUUGAAUUUCCUGUUUUUAAAUGGUUGAUUAUGCUUUAUUGUUGUGAUAUGUGAUUGUUUGCAAUGAAUGGUUGUCUAAUGAACUCUGACUUGGAAUUAAAUUGUGUGAAUUUGUCAUCCAUGAACUGUUAUUGCUAUGCUAAUGAGGCCUUUUUAUGAAGGCAAUUGUUAAUUGCAUCAUAGUUAAUUUGGAAAAGGAAUGUUGCAAAACUAAUGAGGUGUUAAUGUUUAGUGAUAGACUUGUUAGAAUUGAUUAAAUGACAUGAAUUAAGUAUGCUCAUUGAUUGUUUUAUUGGUGAGAAAAGAGAUUUGGUUGUUUGGCUGCAUUGUUAGCUUGUUUGAUGUGCAUGAAUGAAUUACUUUGCAUAAUGCAUUUUGGCAUGUCAUGUCUAUGAAUAUAAAUGCUUGGAAUGAUGAUUUUGUUAUGUUUGGAUGUAUGGUUGGUUUAUGUAUGCCUAGGCUAUGGAUUGAAAUGUUAGAGCUGAUUUUGGCAAUGGUUGAUUGUUGUAAGAUUAUGGCUUUGAUGUAGGCAUGGUGGGCAAGAUAGCAAGUCAUCAUGCAAGGCACAAAAACAAGGUCAAGGCAUGACCAAAUUGGGAAAGCUUGAUUAAUGGAGGAAAUGGUGGCCAUGGAAGAUGCAAUGAUGAAAAUGUGAUUAAUAUUAUGAUUUUAGGAUGAACAAUAUGUUGGUUGACUUUGGUCAACCGGUUGACUAAAAAGUCAACAUUUGUAAAAAAUAAUUUUUUUAAUAUUUCUUUUGUAAUGAACAUUAUACAUGUUAAUGAAUGAAUGGAUGGCCAUCGUGUGAGUGAGAUGUCUAUGAUGUAAAUGUGAAUUAAAUUUGACUUUUUGAAUGAACCUCGAUUAGAACCAAACUUGAUAUAUGAAUGA
rnacentral:lncRNA from 1 species